AGUGAACGCUGGCGGUAGGCCUAACACAUGCCAGUCGAACGGCAGCACAGUAAGAGCUUGCUCUUACGGGUGGCGAGUGGCGGGCGGGUGAGGAAUACAUCGGAAUCUACUUUUUCGUGGGGGAUAACGUAGGGACACUUACGCUAAUACCGCAUACGACCUACGGGUGAAAGCAGGGGAUCUUCGGACCUUGCGCGAUUGAAUGAGCCGCUGUCGGAUUAGCUAGUUGGCGGGGUAAAGGCCCACCAAGGCGACGAUCCGUAGCUGGUCUGAGAGGAUGAUCAGCCACACUGGAACUGAGACACGGUCCAGACUCCUACGGGAGGCAGCAGUGGGGAAUAUUGGACAAUGGGCGCAAGCCUGAUCCAGCCAUACCGCGUGGGUGAAGAAGGCCUUCGGGUUGUAAAGCCCUUUUGUUGGGAAAGAAAAGCAGCAGGUUAAUACCCCGCUGUUCUGACGGUACCCAAAGAAUAAGCACCGGCUAACUUCGUG
rnacentral:rRNA from 1 species